rnacentral:rRNA from 1 species
CCUACGGGUGGCUGCAGUGGGGAAUAUUGCACAAUGGGCGAAAGCCUGAUGCAGCAACGCCGCGUGAAGGAAGAAGGCCUUCUGGUCGUACACUUCUGUCCUUGGGGAGGAAGAACUUACGGUACCCAAGGUGCUACACCCGGCUAACUACUUGCAAGCAGCCGCGGCAGUGCGUAGGGGGCAUGCGGUAGCCGGAAUCAUUGGGCGUAACGAGUACGUUGGUGGUAACCUAAGCGCAGGGUUUAAGGCAAUGGCUCAACCAUUGUUCGCGCUGCGAACUGGGAGGCUUGAGUGCAGGAGAGGAAAGCGGAAUUCCUGGUGUAGCGGUGAAAUGCGUAGAUAUUAGGAGGAACACCAGUGGCGAAGGCGGCUUGCUGGACUGUAACUGACACUGAGGUACGAAAGCGUGGGGAGCAAACAGGAUUAGAUACCCUGGUAGUC